CGUACACUCCUACGGGAGGCAGCAGUGGGGAAUAUUGCACAAUGGGCGCAAGCCUGAUGCAGCCAUGCCGCGUGUAUGAAGAAGGCCUUCGGGUUGUAAAGUACUUUCAGCGGGGAGGAAGGCGAUAAGGUUAAUAACCUUGUCGAUUGACGUUACCCGCAGAAGAAGCACCGGCUAACUCCGUGCCAGCAGCCGCGGUAAUACGGAGGGUGCAAGCGUUAAUCGGAAUUACUGGGCGUAAAGCGCACGCAGGCGGUCUGUCAAGUCGGAUGUGAAAUCCCCGGGCUCAACCUGGGAACUGCAUUGGAAACUGGCAGGCUAGAGUCUUGUAGAGGGGGGUAGAAUUCCAGGUGUAGCGGUGAAAUGCGUAGAGAUCUGGAGGAAUACCGGUGGCGAAGGCGGCCCCCUGGACAAAGACUGACGCUCAGGUGCGAAAGCGUGGGGAGCAAACAGGAUUAGAAACCCCUGUAGUCCCA
rnacentral:rRNA from 1 species